rnacentral:rRNA from 1 species
AUACGUAGGGGGCGAGCGUUGUCCGGAAUGACUGGGCGUAAAGGGCGUGUAGGCGGCUGUCUAAGUCUGGAGUGAAAGUCCUGCUUUCAAGGUGGGAAUUGCUUUGGAGACUGGAUGGCUUGAGUGCGGAAGAGGUAAGUGGAAUACCCAGUGUAGCGGUGAAAUGCGUAGAGAUUGGGAGGAACACCAGUGGCGAAGGCGACUUACUGGGCCGUAACUGACGCUGAGGCGCGAAAGCGUGGGGAGCGAACAGGAUUAGAUACCCUGGUAGUCCACGCGGUAAACGAUGAAUGCCAGGUGUUGCGGGUAUCGACCCCUGCAGUGCCGGAGUAAACACAAUAAGUACCCCGCCUGGGGAGUACGGUCGCAAGACUAAAACUCAAAUGAAUUGACGGGG